CAGCCGCCGCGGUAAUACCAGCACCCCGAGUGGUCGGGACGUUUAUUGGGCCUAAAGCAUCCGUAGCCGGUUCUACAAGUCUUCCGUUAAAUCCACCUGCUUAACAGAUGGGCUGCGGAAGAUACUAUAGAGCUAGGAGGCGGGAGAGGCAAGCGGUACUCGAUGGGUAGGGGUAAAAUCCGUUGAUCCAUUGAAGACCACCAGUGGCGAAGGCGGCUUGCCAGAACGCGCUCGACGGUGAGGGAUGAAAGCUGGGGGAGCAAACCGCAUUAGAU
rnacentral:rRNA from 1 species